rnacentral:rRNA from 1 species
CGCGUGGGAAUAUACCCAAAGGUACGGAAUAGCCUCUGGAAACGGAGAGUAAUACCGUAUGUGCCCUUCGGGGGAAAGAUUUAUCGCCUUUGGUAUUAGCCCGCGUUGGAUUAGAUAGUUGGUGGGGUAACGGCCUACCAAGUCGACGAUCCAUAGCUGGUUUGAGAGGAUGAUCAGCAACACUGGGACUGAGACACGGCCCAGACUCCUACGGGAGGCAGCAGUGGGGAAUCUUAGACAAUGGGCGCAAGCCUGAUCUAGCCAUGCCGCGUGAGUGACGAAGGUCUUAGGAUCGUAAAG